rnacentral:rRNA from 1 species
GACGUAGGGGGCGAGCGUUGUCCGGAUUUACUGGGCGUAAAGAGCGCGUAGGCGGCCUUUUAGGUUGGUGGUCAAAGGUGCGGGCUUAACCUGCACAGGUCCGCCAAGACCGGGAGGCUGUGAGGGCAGUAGAGGAAGGUGGAAUUCCGGGUGUAGUGGUGAAAUGCGUAGAGAUCCGGAGGAACACCGGCGGCGAAGGCGGCCUUCUGGGCUGACCCUGACGCUGAGGCGCGAAAGCGUGGGGAGCGAACUGAAUUAGAUACUCAGGUAGUCCACGCCCUCAACGAUGGACACUAGGUGUGGGGGGUAUCGACCCCUCCCGUGCCGGCGCUAACGCAGGAAGUGUCCCGCCUGGGGAGUACGGCCGCAAGGCUAAA